GACGAACGCUGGCGGCGUGCUUAACACAUGCAAGUCGAACGGGUCUGCCCUGUUUUUUGCGGGGUGGGUCAGUGGCGAACGGGUGAGUAACACGUGAGUAACCUGCCCCUCACUUCUGGAUAACCGCUUGAAAGGGUGGCUAAUACGGGGUGUUCUGGCUGUGCCGCAUGGUGUGGCUGGGAAAGAUUCACUUUUGUGGUGUUUUGGUGGGGGAUGGGCUCGCGGCCUAUCAGCUUGUUGGUGGGGUGAUGGCCUGCCAAGGCUUUGACGGGUAGCCGGCCUGAGAGGGUGGGCGGUCACACUGGGACUGAGAUACGGCCCAGACUCCUGCGGGAGGCAGCAGUGGGGGGUAUUGCACAAUGGGCGGAAGCCUGAUGCAGCGACGUCGCGUGAGGGAUGGAGGCCUUCGGGUUGUGAACCUCUUUCGCCGGUGAAGAAGGUCCUGCUCUUUGUGGUGGGGUUGACGGUAACCGGGUUAUGAAGCGCCGGCUAACUACGUG
rnacentral:rRNA from 1 species